rnacentral:rRNA from 1 species
GAUGAACGCUGGCGGCGUGCCUAAUACAUGCAAGUCGAGCGAACAGACGAGGAGCUUGCUCCUCUGACGUUAGCGGCGGACGGGUGAGUAACACGUGGAUAACCUACCUAUAAGACUGGGAUAACUUCGGGAAACCGGAGCUAAUACCGGAUAAUAUAUUGAACCGCAUGGUUCAAUAGUGAAAGACGGUUUUGCUGUAACUUAUAGAUGGAUCCGCGCCGCCUUAGCUAGUUGGAAAGGUAACGGCUUCCCAAGGCGACGAUGCGUAGCCGACCUGGGGGGGGGAUCCGCCACCAGGGACCUGAGCACGGGCCCCGCACCCACGGGGAGGACGAAGGGGGAAAUCUUCCGAAAGGGGGGAAAGCCGGACGGAGAAACCCCGGGUGGGUGAAGAAGGUCUUCGGAUUGUAAAACUCUGUUAUGGGGGAAAAAAAAAUGUGAAAGUAACAAUGCCCGUUUUAACGGUCCCUAACAAAAAAGCCCCGGCUAACUACGU